UGGGGAAUAUUGCGCAAUGGGGGAAACCCUGACGCAGCAACGCCGCGUGAAGGAUGACGGCCUUCGGGUUGUAAACUUCUGUCGCAGAGGAAGAAGAAAGUGACGGUACUCUGUGAGAAAGCCACGGCUAACUACGUGCCAGCAGCCGCGGUAAUACGUAGGUGGCGAGCGUUGUCCGGAUUUACUGGGUGUAAAGGGCGCGUAGGCGGAUUUGCAAGUCAGAUGUGAAAUACCGGGGCUUAACUCCGGAACUGCAUUUGAAACUGUAGACCUUGAGUGCCGGAGAGGAAAGCGGAAUUCCUAGUGUAGCGGUGAAAUGCGUAGAUAUUAGGAGGAACACCAGUGGCGAAGGCGGCUUUCUGGACGGUAACUGACGCUGAGGCGCGAAAGUGUGGGUAGCAAACAGG
rnacentral:rRNA from 1 species